rnacentral:rRNA from 1 species
GAUGAACGCUCGCGGCAGGCCUAACACAUGCAAGUCGAGGGGUAGAAGGAGCUUGCUCCUUUGAGACCGGCGCACGGGUGCGUAACGCGUAUGCAAUCUACCUUGUACAGGGGAAUAGCCCAGAGAAAUUUGGAUUAAUGCCCCAUAGUAUAUAACCUUCGCAUGUUGGUUAUAUUAAAGUUCCAACGGUACAAGAUGAGCAUGCGUCCCAUUAGUUAGUUGGUAAGGUAACGGCUUACCAAGACGAUGAUGGGUAGGGGUCCUGAGAGGGAGAUCCCCCACACUGGUACUGAGACACGGACCAGACUCCUACGGGAGGCAGCAGUGAGGAAUAUUGGUCAAUGGUCGCAAGACUGAACCAGCCAUGCCGCGUGCAGGAAGACGGUCCUAUGGAUUGUAAACUGCUUUUAUACAGGAAGAAACCCUCCCACGUGUGGGAGCUUGACGGUACUGUAGGAAUAAGGAUCGGCUAACUCCGUG